GACGAACGCUGGCGGCGUGCUUAACACAUGCAAGUCGAACGGAAAGGCCCUGCUUUUGUGGGGUGCUCGAGUGGCGAACGGGUGAGUAACACGUGAGUAACCUGCCCUUGACUUUGGGAUAACUUCAGGAGACUGGGGCUAAUACCGGAUAGGAGCUCCUGCUGCAUGGUGGGGGUUGGAAAGUUUCGGCGGUUGGGGAUGGACUCGCGGCUUAUCAGCUUGUUGGUGGGGUAGUGGCUUACCAAGGCUUUGACGGGUAGCCGGCCUGAGAGGGUGACCGGCCACAUUGGGACUGAGAUACGGCCCAGACUCCUGCGGGAGGCAGCAGUGGGGAAUAUUGCACAAUGGGCGGAAGCCUGAUGCAGCAACGCCGCGUGCGGGAUGACGGCCUUCGGGUUGUAAACCGCUUUCGCCUGUGACGAAGCGUGAGUGACGGUAAUGGGUAAAGAAGCACCGGCUAACUACGUG
rnacentral:rRNA from 1 species